rnacentral:rRNA from 1 species
UAUUCCGCAAUGGACGAAAGUCUGACGGAGCAACGCCGCGUGUGUGAUGAAGGUUUUCUGAUCGUAAAACUCUGUUAUUAGGGAAGAACAAAUGUGUAAGUAACUGUGCACAUCUUUACGGUACCUAAUCAGAAAGCCACGGCUAACUACGUGCCAGCAGCCGCGGUAAUACGUAGGUGGCAACCGUUAUCCGGAAUUAUUGGGCGUAAAACGCGCGUAAGCGGUUUCUUAAAUCUGAUGUGAAAGCCCACGGCUCAACCGUGGAGGGUCAUUGGAAACUGGGAAACUUGAGUAUAGAAGAGGAAAGUGGAAUUCCAUGUGUAGCGGUGAAAUGCGCAGAGAUAUGGAGGAACACCAGUGGCGAAGGCGACUUUCUGGUCUGUAACUGACGCUGAUGUGCGAAAGCGUGGGGAUCAAACAGG